GGCAGUUUGAGGAAGGGAAGUUGUAUAUGAUCGAUGAUCAUCAGGGUAACACCAGGAAAAUGAUCUUUACCAAGGGAGAUUUCAUGCCAUUGCAGGAACCAGAUAAAUCCAUACACGAUGUCAUAUAGUGGAGUUCUGAAGAACAUAUAUUGUGCUUGAUAAAAUUUACAGUCCAGGUCACAAGACACCAAAGCAGAAGCUUAUUCGUUUAAAGCCACAUGGCCAUCAUUCGAACGGUCGAUAUAUGCACCCGAU